CCUACGGGAGGCUGCAGUGAGGAAUAUUGGUCAAUGGGCGCGAGCCUGAACCAGCCAAGUAGCGUGAAGGAUGACUGCCCUACGGGUUGUAACCUUCUUUUAUAAAGGAAUACAGUGAGUCACCUGUGCCUUUUUGUAUUUACUUUAUGAAUAAAGAACGGCUAACUCCGCGCCAGCAGCCGCGGUAAUACGGAGGAUCCGAGCGUUAUCCGGAUUUAUUGGGUUUAAAGGGAGCGUAGAUGGGUUGUUAAGUCAGGUGUGAAAGUUUGCGGCUCAACCGUACAAUUGCAAUUGAUACUGGCAGUCUUGAGUACAGUUGAGGUAGGUGGAAUUCGUGGUGUAGCGGUGAAAUGCUUAGAUAUCACGAAGAACUCCGAUUGCGAAGGCAGCUUACUAACCUGCCACUGACAUUGAUGCGCGAAAGUGUGGGUAGCAAACAGGAUUAGAUACCCCGGUAGUC
rnacentral:rRNA from 1 species